rnacentral:rRNA from 1 species
AGCGAACGCUGGCGGCAGGCCUAACACAUGCAAGUCGAACGAAGUCUUCGGACUUAGUGGCGGACGGGUGAGUAACACGUGGGAACGUACCUUUUGGUUCGGAACAACUCCGGGAAACUUGAGCUAAUACCGGAUGAGCCCUGAGGGGGAAGGAUUUAUCGCCGAAAGAGCGGCCCGCGUUAGAUUAGCUAGUUGGUGAGGUAAAGGCUCACCAAGGCUACGAUCUAUAGCUGGUCUGAGAGGUAGAUCAGCCACACUGGGACUGAGACACGGCCCAGACUCCUACGGAGGGCAGCAGUGGGGAAUCUUGCGCGAUGGGCGGAAGCCUGACGCAGCCAUGCCGCGUGAAUGAUGAAGGUCUUAGGGUUGUAAAAUUCUUUUACCGGGGACGAUAAUGACGGUACCUGGAGAAAAAGCCCCGGCUAACUUCGCGCCAGCCGCCGCGGUAAGAC